GUCCAUCAUGCACCUGAAUUCUAUAACAGUAUAUGAAUGUCUUUUAAUCUGCAGGUCAUUAGGUAGAGUAGGAGUUGGGCAUAUGGUGUACAUCUCCGGUUUGACUUGUGCCUUGAGUUCAACAAAUAUCCUUGAAGUCUCAUGGCGUGAAAAGGAGCCAGGGUCUCUGUUUGUUAACUUAAGCUUGCUGCCAGCACUCCUAAACUCAUCGUGCCUGCAUAAUUUAUCACCCUUGUCAGAUCUUCCCCGUUCGACAAACAGAACACAUAUAUCCCAUGUUCGGUUAGAUGGUAUCGAUUGUGACAGUUUAAAGGUGUCACUGUUCCACAACAUUUGCGGCAGUGUUGUGAAUGAACAUUCAGGUGUACUCCAGUGUUCAUUCUGUAAGUGUGCCUGCGAAAGUGUAUGUGUGUGUGGCUUUCAGCUGCACUUGACCAUCGCAGACGACAGUGCGGAUGUCUUGGCUUGGUGCGUUGGGCAAACGGCUGUCGAGUUCCUUCAGAUAUCUCCUGACGAAUACCUGGAGCUCCCCGAGGUACGUAUGACCUAGACGGGCACACGAGCUUCCAUCUUAAGCCUCAAUAGCGCGCUUACUAUAUGUUCUGAUUGUUUUUUUUUGUGGUGAUAAAAUGAAAUGGUCAGGAUGAACGGGCAAUGUAUCUCUACACUCUCCAGAACGAAAGCUUCGUGGUGGCUAUUGCGAAUACCAGGAAGCGAGUCGAUGGAUGUGCUGUGGGUGAUGAAGCCGUCCCAGCUUGGGAGAUCACGAGAGCCCAGAAAUGUGAAUGAGUUCGUAUAGUGCUCGAGAAAGAAAUGUUGAUGCUAAAAAAGUAAUUGUAACACGUGUUUCAACCUCCGUUUUUCAUCAACCAAUUCGUCGUUCAGCAAUGCAGCCAUAUGCAUGAGUUGUCCAUUGACUCCAAAUGAUGCUUAAGCACGACGGUUAGGAUGGGUUCUUCGUUGACAAAGUCCGAGAGUAAGAUGUCGACGAAGGCAUAGCGUUUAACUUUAAAAUGGGUUCACUACUGAAAAAUUUCGGUUGUUCUUCAUUCAUGUUGACAAUAGGUUAUUUGCUUGGCAACGUAGCCAGACGAGUUCAGAUUUAUCUGAAACUGUGCCUUUUACAUCUAGGGACUUGUACCCAGCAAACAAACGCUGCAGUGCUUUGCUGGCUACGUUUUCAAAGGACAGUUGCUUGUAACUGCAACCAAAAGUCUGAUGGGGGUACCUUUUCAAAGGACCAUUGGUUGCUUGCUUGAUCAGGUUAACAUAAUUGCAUUGCAUGCAAGGAAACU